rnacentral:rRNA from 1 species
UUGAACGCUGGCGGAAUGCUUUACACAUGCAAGUCGAACGGACUUAUGGGCUUCGGUUUAUAAGUUAGUGGCAGACGGGUGAGUAACGCGUGGGAACGUACCUUUUGGUUCAGAAUAACUACGGGAAACUGUAGCUAAUACUGGAUAAGCCCUUCGGGGGAAAGAUUUAUCGCCAAAAGAGCGGCCCGCGUUAGAUUAGGUAGUUGGUGGGGUAAUGGCCUACCAAGCCUACGAUCUAUAGCUGGUCUGAGAGGAUGAUCAGCCACACUGGGACUGAGACACGGCCCAGACUCCUACGGGAGGCAGCAGUGGGGAAUAUUGGACAAUGGGGGCAACCCUGAUCCAGCAAUGCCGCGUGAGUGAUGAAGGCCUUCGGGUUGUAAAGCUCUUUUAUCAGGGACGAUGAUGACGGUACCUGAUGAAUAAGCUCCGGCUAACUUCG